AUUGAACGCUGGCGGCAUGCCUUACACAUGCAAGUCGAACGGCAGCACGGGGGCAACCCUGGUGGCGAGUGGCGAACGGGUGAGUAAUAUAUCGGAACGUACCCUGGAGUGGGGGAUAACGUAGCGAAAGUUACGCUAAUACCGCAUACGAUCUAAGGAUGAAAGUGGGGGAUCGCAAGACCUCAUGCUCCUGGAGCGGCCGAUAUCUGAUUAGCUAGUUGGUGGGGUAAAGGCCUACCAAGGCAUCGAUCAGUAGCUGGUCUGAGAGGACGACCAGCCACACUGGGACUGAGACACGGCCCAGACUCCUACGGGAG
rnacentral:rRNA from 1 species